rnacentral:rRNA from 1 species
GACAGAGGUGCCAAGCGUUAGGCGGAAUCACUGGGCUUAAAGCGUGUGUAGGUGGAUUUGUAAGUACCUUGUGAAAUCCCAUGGCUCAACCAUGGAACUGCUCGGUAUACUGCGAAUCUUGAGCCACUUAGGGGCUACCGGAACAAAUGGUGGAGCGGUGAAAUGCGUAGAUAUCAUUUGGAACGCCAAUGGUGAAAACAGGUAGCUGGGAGUGUGCUGACACUGAGACACGAAAGCCAGGGGAGUGAACGGG